rnacentral:rRNA from 1 species
GAUGAACGCUGGCGGCGUGCCUAAUACAUGCAAGUCGAGCGAACACACCAGGAGCUUACUCCUCUGACGUUAGCGGCGGACGGGUGCUUAACACGUGGAUAACCUAACUAUCAGACUGGGAUACCUUCAGGGAACCGUAGCUAAUACCGAAUAACAUGUCGACCCUCAUUGUUCACGCGUUAAAGAAGGUCUUUCUUUCGCUUAUAGAUGAAUACGCGUCCCAUUCGUUAGUUGGUAAGGUAACGGGUUACCAAGGCAACGAUGCGUAGCCGCCCUGAGAGGGUGAUCGGCCACACUGGAACUGAGACACGUCACAGACUCCUACGGGGGGCAGCAGUAGGGAAUCUUACGCAAUGGGCGAAAGCGUGACGGAGCACCGCCGCGUGAGUGAAGAAGGUCUUCGGAUCGUAAAACUCUGUUAUUAGGGAAGAACAAAUGUGUAAGUAACUAUGCACGUCUUGACGGUACCUAAUCAGAAAGCCACGGCUAACUACGUG